rnacentral:tRNA from 1 species
GGGGCUAUGGCUCAGUGGUAGAGCGCCUGCUUAGCAUGCGCACGGUCUUAAGUUCAAUCCCCAGUAUCUCCA